UUGAUUUUUUUCCCCAUUAUGUUAACGACUGAAAAGUCUGGUUAAACUUAGUAAUAACAUUCUAUACAUUCACUGUUGCAGGGUUCGGUGAAUUACGUAUGUCUCCAUUGUGUUAAACCAAGUAUGGCUAUGUCUACCUUUGCAAUUCACAUCCUCGGUGAUGUGCCUUCCUCUCCACCUGCUGGGAUUCUCUAGCAACAGCAAGCAGUACCUAUGGUUGCUAAUUCUCUCUCUCUCCAAUAAAACCCCAUUUCUUUAUCUAACUAUAAUUGAUUUUUGAAAUCAAACCCAAAUGGAUUCGAGGCAGCAGUCGUGGGUUUACUGAGCAGAUUUGGUGGAUUUGAGGCUACAACGGUGGUGGAUUUAUGAAGCAGAUCUGUGGGUUUGAGGUGGCUACCGUGAAAUCUAAAUCUUGCUACAUCUUCCUAUGAGAUCCAUAAACAUAAAGGGGACAACAAAACUCUACCAAGGAAACUUGCUAGGAGAUACCUGUUAUUUUUUUUUUCUCUCUCUAUUCAUUUAUUAGCUCAGCUGGUAAGAUAUGUUAGAAUUUAUAUUAUUAAUGUGUGCAUGAUUUUUCUACCAACCCUGAGUAAUCCCUUAACCUGCUUGCCUAUUCAGGAGUGAAUGAAUUUGUGUAUAAAACUCGUAAUAUGGAACAUAGCACAUUUUUUGUUUUAUUUUUUUAUACCUUUCUCUCUGUGAUCACUUGUUCUAAAAUUAAUUCUUAGAUAUUUGAGUACAUAAUUAAAAAUAAUAAUUAUAAUUCUUUCCAUUUAUCAGUGAUCUAGAUGGUCAAAUACUCUUGCUCCCAUUUUUUGUUUCUUUAGGAUUCUGCCAUAGCAUCUCUAUAUUGGUUUCUA